rnacentral:rRNA from 1 species
GUAAUCAAAAGCUUAUUAAUUGUAAGCCAGCAUGAAAGAAUCCACCUAGGUUAUCUUUUCUUUCUUUAAAAAUGAAUUUAAAAGAAAUUAAAAAAUAAUUCUUUUUUUAUUAGACGAGAAGACCCUAAAAACUUUUUAAUUACUUAAUUAUUUGGGGAAAAUAAAAAAAUUUGAUCUUUAUAUAAAUUGUUGAAAGAACUAAAAAAUAAGUUACUUUAGGGAUAACAGAGCAAUUUCCAAUGAAAGAACUAAUUGUUUUGGGAUAUUGCGACCUCGAUGUUGGAUUCUUGAAUCUUUCAGCUGCAGUAAGUUGAGAAGAAUAGACUGUUCGUUUUUUAAACCAAGACGUGAUCU